rnacentral:lncRNA from 1 species
CAGGAAGCACCUUGGGCCUUGUGGAGCAACUGUUUUCCGCACGAUUUGCCCUUCUUUUUUUUCCCCCCUAUGCCCUGUGUAAUGAAGAAUGCAGCUCAGAGCCAUUGUAGCAGUUCACUCUGAAUGAGGGUUUCUCCAGGACUUGGUUCUUUUAACGACAGAAAGACCCUUGAGGACAGCAUGCAGCAAUCUGGAGAUUUACAGUUGUCCCUGUUCCGUGGUCCUAGCUCAGUGACUGUUGAAAGCAUCUUCAGCUACAAAGGAAGGGCACUUUCUCAAGUCCUGAAGUCUUACAGCCUGCAAAUGUCUGGCUCCUGCAAUGCCUGGCGUCUCCCAUUUUUCUGAUACUAACCGGACGGACGCGAAGUGAGAAGCAUGGGUUUAGCUUCUGGAGAAAGUCUCCCAGUGCCCGGAGACAGUGGCUGAGAGAAGAGAAGAAAUGGCAAGAAAGAUAAAGCAUGGCUUGGGGCUUCUUUACCAUUAGGGGAGAAGAUACCCACUUACAAGUGCUAUUAAAGCCUGUGGUUAGAUUUCACCAGUGUAAAUUAUUCACGGAGAACUGCCAAGGGUUUUCCCUCCCUGCAGGGUGAACAGCUGGCAUUCUGCACUUCCCUGCCUUGCUAGUCUGGUGGGUUUUUUGAAGACUAGCGCCCUCUGGGGGUUGAAGUGAGAAAAACCAAUCUAGGAAGAAAAAAGGAGGAAGGGUUUUUGCCCUUGGCUGCUCUUACCUAGUGAUGAAAGCUGAGGGGCUUUGGAGAGAAAUACUUUGUAAUGCUACACUGAGUGUGUAGUGCCACAUGACCUUGGGGCUAGUGGUAUUUGAGGCUGCUUAAUUGUCUUAAGCUAAUGUGGCCUCGGCAGUACCACAUCCCAUGGAAGAGGUUUCCAGGGUAUCUAGAGAGCCAGGCUCACUUUCUGUGUUUCCUGUAGGAAGGUACGAGGUAUAACAGGACUCAAGACUAAGCUGAAUGUGACUGUAUGAACCUGAAACAUCUAAUACUUGGGAGGCUGAGGCAGGUGGGUCACUGGGAGUUUGAGGCCAGCCUGGACUGCAUAGGAACUUUUGACACAGUCUAGGCUUCAGACGGAGAUGCUGCCUCAAAAUGAAAGAUUGAAGGCUUGUCGAGAAGACAGGGUGGGCAGUGGUGGUGGUGCACACUUUUAAUCCCAGCACUUGGGAGGCAGAGGCAGAAGGAUCUCUUUCAGUUUGAGGCAAGCCAGAUUUCUAUAUCAAGUUCCAGGCCAGGCAGGGCUACAAAGUAGAACCCUGUCCUGCAGGAGGAGGAGGAGGAGGAGGAGGAGGAGGAGGAGAAGGAGGAGGAGGAGGAGGAGGAGGAGGAGGAGGAGACGACAAUAUGUCAGACAUAUGACAGAAUGGCUAUAUGACUCCUGGAGAAAGCGGCCUAGCAUUUGUAAAAGCACUCAAUCCAUACAGGAGUCAAACUUACCUCGUUGAUUUCCUUAAGAAGAGGAAUUCUGUCCUCUGCUUUCAAGGCCUUGCUUGAACUUACUGGUAAGUUACUAAUGUGUGACUCAAACUGUUACAGAAAGGGCCACGUUGGGGGAAGAGGCAGCAGGGAGGAGAUGGAGGGCUUGCACAGCUGUGACAGAGGAAGCCUGAGAAGUCUGCCCGCGGCGAUGCUGAGCAUCAGAGAGAGGAUGCCAGCCUCCUCGCCUCCUUUUCAUCCCUCUAAAAUGGAAUUCCAAAGCUCAGGCCCACAACUCAGUCUAAGAGGACUUUGCUACACCUCAGCAUCUCAAACACCCAUUUGGAGAGCGGAUUGUGUCUCUGCUUUCUGCAUUCC